rnacentral:lncRNA from 1 species
GGUUAGUUAGUAGUGUUCUGGUUGAAUGGAUAGUAAGUUAGUAGUGUUCUGGUUGAAUGGAUGCUUAGUUAGUAGAGUUCUGAUUGAAUGGAUGGGUAGUUAGUAGUAUUCUGGUUGAAUGGAUGGUUAGUUAGUAAUGUUCUGGUUGAAUGGAUAGUUAGUUAGUAGUGUUCUGGUUGAAUGGAUGGUUAGUUAGUAGUGUUCUGAUUGAAAUGAUGGGUAGUUAGUAGUAUUCUGGUUGAAUGGAUGGUUGGUUAGUUAUGUUCUGGUUGAAUGGAUGGUUAGUUAGUAGUGUUCUGAUUGAAUGGAUGGGUAGUUAGUAGUAUUCUGGUUGAAUGGAUGGUUAGUUGGUAAUGUUGUGGUUGAAUGGAUGGUUAGUUAGUGGUGUUCUGGUUGAAUGGAUGGUUACUAGUGUUCUGGUUGAAUGGAUGGUUAGUUAGUGGUGUUCUGGUUGUGUUCUUGUUGAAUGGAUGGUUAGUUAGUAGUGUUCUGGUUGAAUGGAUGGUUACUAGUGUUCUGGUUGAAUGGAUAGUUAGUUAGUGGAGUUCUGGUUGAAUUGAUGGUUAGUUAGUGGUGUUCUGGUUGUCUUCUGGUUGAAUGGAUGGUUAGUUAGUGGAGUUCUGGUUGAAUUGAUGGUUAGUUAGUGGUGUUCUGGUUGUGUUCUGGUUGAUUGGAUGGUUAGUUAGUGGUGUUCUGGUUGAAUGGAUGGUUAGUUAGUGGUGCUCUGGUUGAAUGGAUGGUUAGUUAUUGGUGUUUUGGAUGAUUAGUUAGUGGUGUUCUGGUUGAAUGGAUGGUUAGUUAGUGGUGUUUUGGAUGAUUAGUUAGUGGUGUUCUGGUUGAAUGGAUGGUUAGUUAGUGGUGUUUUGGAUGAUUAGUUAGUGGUGUUCUGAUUAAAUGGAUGGUUAGGUAGUGGUGUUCUGAUUUAAUGGAUGGUUUGUUGGUAGUGCUCUGGUUGAGGUCUGGUUCUGUGGAUGGAGGGUGUACACGGAGAAGAAGUUGGAGCUCUCUGGCGUUACCUUCCUGUGUUCAGUUCAGUCAACACAUCCAGGGUCAGGUGAAGGAAGGGUGUGGUGUUGAGAUGAGUUGCCCUUCAGAUGGUCAAACAGACCAGUGGAGGAUGGGAAGAAAGAGAGAAGUGAGAGAGGAGUGAAAUGGUAGAGGACAGUGGAUGGACCCCUGAGAUGGAAACACAGUGAAAUAUUUACAUUACCCAGAGAGAAGAAAAGGCACUGCGGCCUCCCACUCUCUCUCCCCCUCCCCUCCUUCAUCCCUCCAUUCUCCCCACCUCAUCACAUGUGUGCUGUAUGCCGCGGUAUAAUCAACAUGCACUCACUUAAGUGGCUAUAGGCUAUGUAACAUCAGCCAACAGGGUUUUAGUAAGUGCUGCUGGUGUGUGUGUGUGUGUGUGUGUGUGUGUGUAUGGGCCCAGCUCGCUGCUGUGGUUGGUGAUGGAAGAUCAUGUUUCUCUCCUCCACCUCACACUCCUCUCCUCUCUUAUUCACACUCCAGUGGGACUGUGGAUGUCACAUUCUACUUCACACUCUGCACUAUCCUGCUUACACCAUACACACACACACUGGCAUGUGCACACUAACAUGCACACUGGCAUAACACCUUUCAUUUCAUUCUCUGUGCAUGCACAAAUACAC